GCUAAGAUUCAAAACAGAAUAAACAGAAUCAAAAGGUUUAUUUUAAAAGGAAUUUAUGGGAUAAAGCAGAUGUCAGUCGUGAUUGGACAGGGUAAAAAUUGGGCUAUAGUUUUCAUUCCUUGUGUGGGUUUUGAGUUAUCUUUGGGCUGGACAUUUUUCUGGGACCCCAUAGCCCUGAAUAUUAUAAAAAAAUAUAAUGUACUCAGCCACUUCUGAGGUCAGGAGCUUUUGUUGUGGCUUGCAGGAUUAGUUAUUUAAAGCCUCAGCCGGUGGAAAUUUCCCACGGCGUUCCGCGCACGCUCAAUCAAAGCUUUAAUACGCAACCGAGGUAACGGAACAGAAGGGCAGAGUCAGUCCAGCAUCAGUAUCCUCCGGGAAUGCGAGCUGAUCACUGCCGUAACACGAUCUCUAUAGAGACCAGCACGAGCGCAAUCUCAUGGAGACAGAGUCCCAAACGCAGCAGAUCCAGCACAUCACUGAAUAAGACACUCCGAGCCACUUCGUUCCUCUACAGACCUCUAGAGUGGGUAAACCAUGGGUAAGAAAGUCUUGCAGUGUUUUCCUUGGUACAAACGCUGUAAAGACAGGGGUAAAAGCAGGAUGUGCCCUCCUCCGCCUGUGCCAUCUGUUGAGGUGCAACCUGGCUUCUCUCCGACAGUCUCCUGGGGGUACGACGGAGAGGAAAACGCCGGACGUCCCGUCUAUUUUUCCCAUAAAGCGCGUAUAGUUUAUCGCCACCAGAUGGAUGGCAAUAUUAUCGAUGCCACCUGCUGACCUCUGGGCUUCUGUCCCAGAAUCCCUUGCCUUGUACCCAUGGCUGUAGACGUUCAGUGUAGAGGAGCGUCAUAGGAUCCUACUAGACUGUUCCGUCCUGUGUAAUUAAACUAAAUCUCUUGUAUUUAGUAAAGAUGUCACAGUGUUUCCUCUGGUUCCCCCAUCCCCUCGCCAUACUUGGCACUCACCUAUCUUUACUUACUGUGUUGAAAUAUAAUAUAAUGUUUGAAGGCAGACAGAGUGAUGUAGGCCACAAGGAAUGUAGAAACAGAAACCGAGCUGGAUUUUAUAAAUACAAAUGUAAUGUGUUUUGUCAUGCAAAUAUGAUCCUGGAUGUAUGAUUGCCCAUUGCUUUUCAGAGGACAAACCAUGACUGGUUUUUCAGAGGUUCAUGAAUGCAUUUCAGGCAAAAGAUACAUUUUUGUACUAAUCACUGGAAUUAUAAUGUAACAUUUCCGUACAUUUAGUAAUUGUUUAUUAUUCUCUGGUUAUGUCAAAGAAGUUUAAGUAUUGGGGGAAAAAAAAUGUUUAAAUAUAUGAACAUAUUUCUAUUGUUAAUCUUUGUCUCAUUUAAAAUCUGAAAUGUUCUUAAUUGUUCCCUUAUUGUACAAAAAGGCUUUAUUUCUUUGUGCAAAUUAUAAAUUCUUAUUUUGUACUGGGGGUAAAAUAUGAUCUGGACAUGUUAUUGACUAUUCAGUUUUCAGUUUGAGGGUGUUUUGCUACAUAAAUAGAUAUGUAAAGGGAUAAACCAGCCAUAAAACUCUAAUACUAAUUCAUGCAAAAUAAAAAUGCCACUAUUUUGAUGUAUAAUUUCCCAUCUAUAAUGUGUUAGGAAAAAGAGCAUGUUUGAUAUUACAAGAAAAUGUUACCAAACUAAAUAAUCAUUUUUAUAUUGUACUAAUGCCCAAAUAAAUUAUUAAUUUAAUGUUUACUUUGUAUAAAAUUUCCUUUUCUAGCUACGAUAAAAGUAAUACUGCAAUCUGUAAUAUUGCACCCUAUUCUUCAUGAAAAUGCAAUUUGAAUUUGACAACACGAUUCACUGUUGGUCUCAUCUUUUCUAUGUAAAUUGCAAUGUAAGGACUCUAACCACUCUGAAAUAUUAAAUUUUUAAUCUUGGGAUGAAUAUUAAACUUGUCUGGCUGUGCACAAUUACUGUCAUCUAACAUAGUGCUAUUUCAUUUCACCAUGUAAACACAACCCCAUUACCCUGACUUCAGAUCAGAGAUGGCAGAGUGGCCCAUUGUCGUCAGCGAGGACACAGAGAGGACAGACGGGAUAUAAAUUCCCUGGUUACCAGACACAAGAUGAGAAUUAGCUUUACUGUGCCUUUGCAAGUCAUUAUCCUCUUUAAGUAGGCCUGAGUGACGUCGAUGGAUGUCUCUAAAGCGUCUAAUGUUGUGAUGAUAUAGGCCUAUAAGAGCUUAUGUUUCUUAUGAGUGGAUGUUUACAGGAUGCAUUUAUGAAGCUGACGAGUCUCUGUAAA